AUGGACGUUGUGCGGGAUCGUGCGGCUCAAAGCAACGCACAAGUUUUGGACAAGGGCUAUAUGGAGGCAAAUGAGAAGAUCAUGUCAAGUGAAGGUUAUUUUGUGUUUUGGGCUUGGCCCAUUCGGUGGGAACCAUGGCCCAUUCAAUGGAGGUGGAAGGCUGAUCUAGCCUUAUAUGGCACUAGUGAGAUUAAGACAGCUCGUCAGGACAUUUACAAAGCCGAGUACAACAAAUUUGAGCAGUUACCUGGUGAGUCUCUAGAGGACAUGUUUGGUAGGUUUGAGGUCAUAGUAGGAAAAUUGAGGGGUGUCGGGGUUGUGUACAAUGAUUCUGAGAAAGCUAGACACAUCCUAAACUCUCUUGACCCAAUCUAUGAGAUGAGAAAGAUCGCUAUUCAAGAGUCCCAUAAACCUGAUGAGCUCACUGUAGACAUGUUGUUAUCCAAGCUUAAAACUCACCAAAUAGCCAGUGAAGGUAGAAACCCACCUAGGAACAGGACUCUUGCACUAGUUGGUAGUGAAUGCCAAACUGCACAUGGUCCCUCUAGUGUUUCUGAGUCUGGCAGUGGUCCAUCUUCUGGUUUUUCACUUGCUUGUUUGGUUUCAGUCUCUGAUGAACAACUUGAAUCUUUGCCUGAGGAUGAUCUUGCUCUUUUUGUCCGUCGUUUUUCUCGAGCUUAUAAAAACGUGAGAGAAAGGAAAGGCAAACACACAAAAAAUUGUUUUGAGUGUGGUGUGCAGGGACACUACAGGUCUGAUUGUCCAAAUCUCAAAGAUUAUGGUGAAAAUAGCGGUGGCAAGAACAACUACAUCAAGAAGAAGCCGUUCUCUCACCAUGAAACCAAGUUCCAGCCAAAGGCUGAGAAGCAUCUUCAGAAGAUGGUUGCUGCAAUCGCUUCGGGUCUACAAUUUGCAGUAGAUUUAAGCGACAUCGACUCUGACCAGAGUGGUGAGGAUGAUCCUCCUUCUCCCAAAGGGAAGGAUACAAAGAAGAAGAAGGCUGAUCGGCUCACCGGCAUGUGUUUUAUGGCUCAUGAGGCUGAUGAGGAGAACGACAGCAUGGAUGAGGUACAAAUGUCUUAUGAUGAAUUAUAUGCUGAGUAUGUGAAAGUUGAAAAUCUAUUUUUAAUGCAAGCAAAAGUCCUUAAAAAAUGUACGCGCACCAUAAAUGAUAAUCUUGCUCAAAUUGAUUCUCUCACACUUGAAAUCACUACACUGAAGGAUGCUACUGCUAGUGUGCCUUCUCAUGAUAUUGAUGAUUGUGUUGGAUGUGAUGUGUUGCAUGCUGAAUUAGAACUUGCUAGGAAUACUCAUGCUAGUAUGUCACAGUUGCUUGAAUCUGCUAGAAAUGAACUUGAUGAUGUUAAGUUGAGCCCUUGCUCCCUUUGUGUUGAAAAUACACCUAUGUCAGUUCCUAAAGUUCUAGACUGUGCCUGCCCAAACUAUGAUAAAUUAAAUGCUAAAAUUAAGAAUCUUGAACACAUGCUUUUUGAUGCAGAGAAUCCUCCUUCUUGUUUGAAGUGCAAAUACUUUGAUGAUCGGGUUAAAAAGUUCAAUCAAAUGAUCCUAGAUGUGCGUGCUCCUAAAAAUUGUGUAAAUUGUCCUAAACUCGAAGAAGAAGUUGAGGAAUUAGGAGCUCAUCUCAGUGAACUCUAUAAGAAAUAUGAUCUUGUUAAAGUUUCAAAUUCUAAGAAACCUACCGAUUCUCGUGAUGCUUCUUCUAGUUCUGUUACUGCUUGUACCUUUUGUACCAUACUUGAGAAUGAUCUUGUUGCAAUGCAUGAAGCAUUUCGGGUCAGGUUUGGCAAGGGUGUUGCAAAUCCUGUGAGUGUAGAUUGUGUGUCUUGUGAGGGAUUAAAACUUGAGAUUCAGGCCUACAAGGAUAGAUAUGGGAGAGCUGUGAGGGUGUCCUCCUUAAAAGAGUGUUUAUCAUGUGCUUCCUAUGCAAAAGAAGUAGCUUACCUCAAGACGACCCUAGAAAAGCUCUCAAGUGGUGAGAAAAGAUUAAACAUGAUUUUAGAUAAGUCAAAGGUGAGUAAAGGUCUAGGUCUUGGUUUUGACUUUGUGGAAGAUUCUAGGAACAACCCUCCAGAACCCAUAGGCAUUCGAAGUGAUGGAGCUAUCUUGGUGUGUGAGGAUGAGAGAGCGACAGUUUUUCAGUCUGUGGGACUUUUGCCCACGAGUCCAAAUGACAAGGGUACUUCUCCUUCCACUGGUUCUCAUGCUGAAAAAGAGAGAAUAGUUUACCAGUGCACCUAUUGCCACAAGACUAGACACCUUGCUGAGUUUUGCUUCAAAAAACUUAGAGAUGAACAUAGAUCUCGUAUACGUGCUCUUAGGGGCAUGCAACGACAGGCUCGUGCACUGCAUGUUGGUUGUGAGGGUUUGGCGAACAAGUGGCUUAUUGACUCUGGGUGUUCACGCCACAUGACUGGUGAUACCAAAUGGUUCGCCUCCCUCUGCAAAGCGUCUGGUGAUGAAAAGACCACUUUUGGGAAUGAUGCACAGGGUUGCAUUGUGGCCAAAGGAACAGUCCGAGUCAACGAGAACUGUCUUCUCAAGGAUGUAGCCCUUAUAAUGAGGAUGGUGUGGGACAAAACCCCAUACCCCGUGCACCUGUCGCAGAACCUGCUACCACUUCUGUUCCAAUGGAAGAUGUUGAGGCAGAGGCUACCACAACUAUUUCCUCACCUGCUUCUGAGGUCCUUCAGGGAUCUCUACGUCUUCAUCAUGCUCACCCACCAGAUCUGA
rnacentral:rRNA from 1 species